rnacentral:lncRNA from 11 species
GUGCAGAGCAAGCCAAAACCACCAGCUAAACCUGGGCGAAAUGACUAUGAGUUACAGGAGUUUGCUAACCUUCAAGAAGAUGGUCCAAGCAAGCUCAACUUUACCACCUGAGAAAGGAUCAGAAAAUCCUGGUGCUCCAAAUCCUUCUGACUACCGAGAAGAUGACCAUGGACUGGAGAAAAACUCAGCCCUUGCUUCACGAUUGACCACCUUUUCAUGCUUUGGUCCUUUUGGGUAUUGCCUUCCUCGGACCUGGUUGUGUCUCUCCGAAAGAGUGUUCAAAGAGGAAUUCAACGAUUGUCCAGUGCCUGAUGUCUUCAAGUGCUGUGUUUUCUGAAAAAUGGGACACACUUCUGUGAACCCCUCUCUGGAGACAACAGUCUCAACUAUGAAGAAGAAUUUUGAUUUGAUAAUCAGGAAAUUUGAUAAUGAAGAAGAGUGAUUUCUUCCGAUAUUCCACAUAAAUAAUCCUCUGUUAAUCAGCUCCACCACUUUCAUUAAAGCAUCUAUAAACUAAAAUAUUCAUUUGACUCAUUUGUUUGGUGCUUACUACUUGAUCUCAAGAAAGAUCAGUGCCCUCUUCCCAUGACGCCAUUAUAGCACAAUAAUCCAUUGUUAAUUGCCAUGGCAACAUCUUCUGGAAUCCUAGAAUUUGUAGUCUGGUGAGGUACCAUGGUUCUCUGAUUUAUAUAAUUCUACAUACUCCUUCCUGAUUGCAUAUCCCUGGAUUUCACAGGAUGUUGUCACUGCAAUUAAAGUGUAUCAUCAUGCUAUAAUCAUAAAGGGUGAAACAACCCCUAGUAUAAGUUCUUCUAUGAAAACAUCAUCUCAGUUUCUUCUCUCAUGAGAAAAAUAUGUGAAAAUUAAAACACAGAGCUAAAUUCCAUUGUCACUCCUGACUUGAGCAGAACCAUGGAAUCAGUUUGAUUUACUUAUGUGUUGACAGUUUCUAUUCUAGGAUUCCAGUCAU